rnacentral:lncRNA from 1 species
CGGAUUGGUCCCUUAAAGAUAACCCGUUAGUCAUUAUGGUCCUUUCCGUCAAUUUUUCAAAAACCGUUAGUUUUGCAGAGGUCCACUGUUACUAAGGGUGUACCACCAACAUCCAAUUAUGUUUUCCUUCCUUCAUCUUCUUCCUUCAUUUGUUCUUCAUCUUCAUCAACAUUUUCAUAAACUUCAACAACAAAAUUUUCAAAUCUUCAAACAAACUCAAAAUACACACUUCAACCCACCAUUAGCAAGAGUUACACAUCUUCAAAAUUCUUCCGGAUCUUCAAAGGCUUGCUAUUGUUCCAGAUAAUCAAAUUCUUACUAAGUUCUUCUUAACAAAAUUCUUUUUUCCAAAACCUAAUUAUAGGAAAUGAAUUUUUC